UGCCCUACGGGGGGCAGCAGUGAGGAAUAUUGGUCAAUGGACGAGAGGCUGAACCAGCCAAGUAGCGUGAGGGAAGACGGCCCUACGGGUUGUAAACUUCUUUUGUAGGGGAGCAAAACAAGGCACGUGUGACUUAUUGAAAGUACCAGAAGAAAAAGCAUCGGCUAACUCCGUGCCAGCAGCCGCGGUAAUACGGAGGAUGCGAGCGUUAUCCGGAUUUAUUGGGUUUAAAGGGAGCGCAGGCGGAGGGGUAAGUCAGCGGUGAAAUUGCGGGGCUCAACCGCGAAAU
rnacentral:rRNA from 1 species